UCAAGUAAUUAAGUGCAUGUGGUGGAUGCCUUGGCAGUCAGAGGCGAUGAAAGACGUGAUAGCCUGCGAAAAGCUCCGGGGAGGCGGCAAAUAUCCUUUGAUCCGGAGAUGUCUGAAUGGGGGAACCCACCUACUUUAAGGUAGGUAUUGCAACAUGAAUACAUAGUGUUGCAAGGCGAACGAGGGGAAGUGAAACAUCUCAGUACCCUUAGGAAAAGAAAUCAAUUGAGAUUCCCUCAGUAGCGGCGAGCGAACGGGGAUCAGCCCAUUAAGUUAUGUGUGUUUUAGUGGAACGCUCUGGGAAGUGCGAACGUAGAGGGUGAUAUUCCCGUACACGAAAGGGCACACAUAAUGAUGACGAGUAGGGCGAGGCACGUGAAACCUUGUCUGAAUAUGGGGGGACCAUCCUCCAAGGCUAAAUACUCCUGACUGACCGAUAGUGAACCAGUACCGUGAGGGAAAGGCGAAAAGAACCCCUGUGAGGGGAGUGAAAUAGAUCCUGAAACCGCAUGCAUACAAGCAGUGGGAGCACCUUCGUGGUGUGACUGCGUACCUUUUGUAUAAUGGGUCAGCGACUUAUAUUCAGUAGCGAGGUUAACCGUAUAGGGGAGCCGUAGAGAAAUCGAGUCUUAAUAGGGCGUUUAGUUGCUGGGUAUAGACCCGAAACCAGGCGAUCUAUCCAUGAGCAGGUUGAAGGUUGGGUAACACUAACUGGAGGACCGAACCCACUGUCGUUGAAAAGCCAGGGGAUGACUUGUGGAUAGGGGUGAAAGGCUAAUCAAGCCUGGUGAUAGCUGGUUCUCCCCGAAAGCUAUUUAGGUAGCGCCUCGGACGAAUACCAUAGGGGGUAGAGCACUGUUUCGGCUAGGGGGUCAUCCCGACUUACCAAACCGAUGCAAACUCCGAAUACCUAUGAGUACUAUCCGGGAGACAGACUGCGGGUGCUAACGUCCGUAGUCAAGAGGAAAACAAUCCAGACCGCCAGCUAAGGCCCCAAAAUCAUAGUUAAGUGGGAAACGAUGUGGGAAGGCAUAGACAGCUAGGAGGUUGGCUUAGAAGCAGCCACCCUUUAAAGAAAGCGUAAUAGCUCACUAGUCGAGUCGGCCUGCGCGGAAGAUGUAACGGGGCUAAAACUAUGUGCCGAAGCUGCGGAUGUAUACUUUGUAUACGUGGUAGGGGAGCGUUCUGUAAGCCGAUGAAGGUGUGUUGAGAAGCAUGCUGGAGGUAUCAGAAGUGCGAAUGCUGACGUGAGUAACGACAAAACGGGUGAAAAACCCGUUCGCCGAAAGACCAAGGGUUCCAGUCCAACGUUAAUCGGGGCUGGGUGAGUCGACCCCUAAGGCGAGGCCGAAAGGCGUAGUCGAUGGGAAAAUGGUUAAUAUUCCAUUACUUCUGUGUAAUGCGAUGAGAGGACGGAGAAGGCUAAAUCAGCCUGGCGUUGGUUGUCCAGGUGAAAGGAUGUAGGCAUGUAUCUUAGGCAAAUCCGGGGUACUCUAUGCUGAGAUCUGAUAGCAAGCUGUACUUGUACAGCGAAGUGGUUGAUGCCAUGCUUCCAGGAAAAGUCUCUAAGCUUCAGUUACACAGGAAUCGUACCCGAAACCGACACAGGUGGUCAGGUCGAGUAGACCAAGGCGCUUGAGAGAACUCUGCUGAAGGAACUAGGCAAAAUGGUACCGUAACUUCGGGAGAAGGUACGCUGUUGUUGGUGAUGGAACUCGCUUCCUGAGCUGACGACAGCCGCAGAAACCAGGCCGCUGCAACUGUUUAUUAAAAACAUAGCACUCUGCAAACACGAAAGUGGACGUAUAGGGUGUGAUGCCUGCCCGGUGCUGGAAGGUUAAUUGAUGGGGUUAGCGUAAGCGAAGCUCUUGAUCGAAGCCCCAGUAAACGGCGGCCGUAACUAUAACGGUCCUAAGGUAGCGAAAUUCCUUGUCGGGUAAGUUCCGACCUGCACGAAUGGCAUAAUGAUGGCGGCGCUGUCUCCAGCAGAGGCUCAGUGAAAUCGAAAUCGCUGUGAAGAUGCAGUGUACCCGCGGCUAGACGGAAAGACCCCGUGAACCUUUACUGCAGCUUGACACUGAACUUUGACCUUACUUGUGUAGGAUAGGUGGGAGGCUUUGAAGCUGGAACGCUAGUUCCAGUGGAGCCGUCCUUGAAAUACCACCCUGGUAAUGUUGAGGUUCUAACUCUGUCCCGUGAUCCGGGACGAGGACCGUGUCUGGUGGGUAGUUUGACUGGGGCGGUCUCCUCCUAAAGAGUAACGGAGGAGUACGAAGGUGCGCUCAGCGUGGUCGGAAAUCACGCGUAGAGUAUAAAGGCAAAAGCGCGCUUAACUGCGAGACCCACAAGUCGAGCAGGUACGAAAGUAGGUCUUAGUGAUCCGGUGGUUCUGUAUGGAAGGGCCAUCGCUCAACGGAUAAAAGGUACUCUGGGGAUAACAGGCUGAUACCGCCCAAGAGUUCAUAUCGACGGCGGUGUUUGGCACCUCGAUGUCGGCUCAUCUCAUCCUGGGGCUGAAGCAGGUCCCAAGGGUAUGGCUGUUCGCCAUUUAAAGAGGUACGCGAGCUGGGUUUAGAACGUCGUGAGACAGUUCGGUCCCUAUCUACCGUGGGCGCUGGAAAUUUGAGAGGAUCUGCUCCUAGUACGAGAGGACCAGAGUGGACGAACCUC
rnacentral:rRNA from 1 species